UGGGGAAUUUUGGACAAUGGGCGAAAGCCUGAUCCAGCAAUGCCGCGUGUGUGAAGAAGGCCUUCGGGUUGUAAAGCACUUUUGUCCGGAAAGAAAUCCUCUGGGUUAAUACCUCGGGGGGAUGACGGUACCGGAAGAAUAAGCACCGGCUAACUACGUGCCAGCAGCCGCGGUAAUACGUAGGGUGCAAGCGUUAAUCGGAAUUACUGGGCGUAAAGCGUGCGCAGGCGGUUUUGUAAGACGGAUGUGAAAUCCCCGGGCUUAACCUGGGAACUGCAUUCGUGACUGCAAGGCUAGAGUAUGGCAGAGGGGGGUAGAAUUCCACGUGUAGCAGUGAAACGCGUAGAGAUGUGGAGGAAUACCGAUGGCGAAGGCAGCCCCCUGGGCCAAUACUGACGCUCAUGCACGAAAGCGUGGGGAGCAAACAGGAUUAGAUACCCUGGUAGUCCACGCCCUAAACGAUGUCAACUAGUUGUUGGGGAUUCAUUUCCUUAGUAACGUAGCUAACGCGUGAAGUUGACCGCCUGGGGAGUACGGUCGCAAGAUUAAAACUUAAAUGAAUUGACGGGGUCAUAGCUGUUUCCU
rnacentral:rRNA from 1 species